CCUACUGGCGGCUGCAGUGAGGAAUAUUGGGCAAUGGAGGCAACUCUGACCCAGCCAUGCCGCGUGAGUGAAGAAGGUUUUCGGAUUGUAAAGCUCUUUCGGAUGUGACGAUGAUGACGGUAGCAUCUAAAGAAGCCCCGGCUAACUUCGUGCCAGCAGCCGCGGUAAUACGAAGGGGGCAAGCGUUAUCCGGAUUUAUUGGGUUUAAAGGGUGCGCAGGCGGAGGUGCAAGUCAGCGGUCAAAUUGCGGGGCUCAACCCCGUACUGCCGUUGAAACUGCAUCCCUUGAGUGCGCGAGAAGUAUGCGGAAUGCGUGGUGUAGCGGUGAAAUGCAUAGAUAUCACGCAGAACUCCGAUUGCGAAGGCAGCAUACCGGCGCGCAACUGACGCUCAUGCACGAAAGCGUGGGUAUCGAACAGGAUUAGAUACCCCUGUAGUC
rnacentral:rRNA from 1 species